rnacentral:lncRNA from 1 species
CGCCGAGCGUCCCUCCCGCAGGCUGUGGCGGGCGGCGGGACGGGUUGCAUCAGCCCCGGCUAUAUAGCGGCCCCUGGGCGGCGGGGAGGGGUCGGGAAUGCGGAACCGGCCGAGCUGCCAGCUCCAGACGUCAGAGGGGGACGGAGAGGAAGGGAAGGAGGGGACCGGGGAGGAGGGGGUGUGGAGCCGGCGCUUCACACCCACUGACCUUAACCUCCCCCGCCGCCUUGGGCGCCCUCCUCCCGCGGCCGCUCGCGCUCCUCUCCCCGCGGGGGCGUCCCGGGUUCCAUGCAGUCCCCCGGCUCCGCCACCCCACGGUGCAGGAGCGCUCGAGAAAGCAGGACGCGGCGAGCGGUUAUGUAAGCGCACCCCCCGCGCACCGCCGCCCGGCUUGUGCCCGCCAGGCAGCAGCAGCCGCAGCCCUAGGAGAGAGACGCGAGAGGCCGGAGCCGGGGGAAAAGUCAAAAGCCCCUUCACGCACAGCCUGUGUUAACCAUGUACCUCAGUCCCGGCGCUUCCCCCACAAACUGAGAGCGACAGGGAGAAUUUCCGCACAGUUUCAUCCUUGGACACUUCAGGACUGAGCGGAGCCAACCCCACUCCCACCUUCCAUCCUUCUAGAGAGGAAAUGGUGAAGGGGACUCCAGAGGGAAGGCGACAUCCAUGGUGCCCUCCAGUAUACAAAGGCAGAGACACAGAGCCCUCAGGUAGAACGGGGUUCCCUAGAUGGCAUCUCCUACCUCCAGAGCUCCUGGGUACCCAUCGAGCCCCCUACCUUCUGCCUAAGCCAGAUAGGAGUGACGAUUUUUAUACUCAGCGACUUUCGGCCUCCUUCUGAGAGUGAUGUCAGGUCAUCACCCAUAGAAGAAAGGAAGUGAAAGAAAAAGUUCAUGCCUUCUUGGAGUGCAGAUGCUCAGAGUGAAAGAAACAACAAGACUUGAGACAGAUGGGUGCCAUUGAGCAAACCCGAACAUGCAUGUCUCUCUCAUGUGAGUGAGUGCAUGAGACUUUAUUCUCCUUAUUUCCCCAGUGCAGUGAAAUCUUUCUGGAUAAAAGAAGUGGGCUAAUGGAAGGAGAGACAGACCAAGUCCCAAUGACAUUGCCUGACCAUUUUCACCUUCGCCAUCAGCAGUCUCCCUCACAGCAUUGGUGUGGGCAGGUAAGAAGAAAGCAAGGCCCUGAAAGAAUAUACAUUGGAAAAUGAGCAGUAAUUUGAUACUCUUGUGGAAGAGCAUGACUCUUCGCCCCAGAAAGGCCAAUGACACCUUUACUACAGCGUAAAGAUCAAAGCCAGGGACUGUGAAACUGCCUCAUGAUGUUUCUCCCAUGAGACCUGUGUCUGGAUGUUUAUAUGGAACAAAACAUGGAACAGAGGCAAUAGUACUUGAUGUGUCUUCAGCUGGGGCUUUGGAUAAACUAAACUGAUCUAUAUUCAGGGACUAAUAAUUAGGGUGUGUGGUUAGAGCGCGUCCUCUCUAGGGCCUGUUUUGGACUGUGGCUGGGCCACCAGCAGUCCUACUGGGCCUUUGCUUCCCCCACAAAUUAAAUAUGUUACAGGGGUGGCACCAAGGGGUGACUUGGGAGGCCUUUAGUCCCCUCUACCUCUCUAUAAUCUCCAUUAGAUCUUCUCUGUUAUUUGCUAUUGAUGCUUUUCAGUUUCAUAUAGGACGCUAUAAGAACACAGCUUCAAGGCCUCCCUUCCGCCACAUACUCCCUACUAGGCCCCUCUACGUAGUCACUGCCUCUGGGAGUGGCUAGAGGGAGAAGCCAUAAACUGGGUCCUUUAUGCAGACAUUGGAUGCUGGAUGGAGCUGAUUUACCACUGGCUCUUAGGGACAGACAAGUGACUCAGCCUAAGGCAGUUUGAAUUUAAGUUUCCUAUCACAACUAGAAAAGUCCUGAUUAACACGCCCAGCCCUAGUCAAUGGGCUGAUUGAGAGAUCGUCACAUAUCCCAAGAAAAUCUCACAAGACUGGGAAUUUUGUGGAUCUGCUGGAAAGAGAAGCUGCCAGAAGCCCCACGUGAAAGGGAACUACUGAGAGUGAAGCUAAUGGGAGGAAAAGUAGAGCCAAGCCACGGAGGGAAAGACAGAUCAAGUUCCAAUGACAUUGCCUGAGUUCCUGAAUUCAGUCAUGCCUGACAUCAUCCUGACCUCUGCAGGUUUUAGCUAUAGGAAUCAGUAAAUUAUGUCUUACCCAAGGCAGUUUGAAUUUGGGUUUCCUAUUACUUGCAAUUAGAAAAGUCCUAAUUAAUACAGUGGGUUUUGCAUCUCUGACUUAUGUGGACUAUUUCAUUUUGAAGUUUAAUGGAGAUUGAUGAAUCCCGAGCUCUUUGUAAAGAGGGGAAAACUGAAAUGGUGAGGUAAAAUAAUGAAUUCCCCAGACCUGCUCCUCCAAAAUCAAAGGAGAAAGUGAUAGUUCUGAGUAAUCAGCCAAUCAAUUAGUCUUUAUCCUAGUAUAUACUGAAAACCUAUUGUGCACCUUUAAGGUACACAAAGUUUAAGACAUGAUUUCUCACCUGUUCUAUGUCCCAUCUAAUUAGGAAAAAUGAUUUACAAACUAAUGAAUAGCAAGACAAAGAGUAGCUAAGAGCUAAUGAUGCGACACAGGCUAUAAGCACUGUAGGAGUUCAGACAGGAUUGCUGCUCCAGUCUCUACUCAAAUUGUAUAGACCAAAAUUGCAAACGCGUAGCUGGCAGGCUGAAAAUCUGGCUUUUCUGGCUUCAACCUUAAAUUUGUUUUUCUAAAAAAGACAGGCAUGGUGGUGCUCACCUGUAGUCCCAGCUACUCAGGAGACUGAAGCAGAAGGAUCAUUUGAGCCCAGGAGUUCAAGUCUGGCCUAGGCAACAUAGCAAGACCCCCAUCUCAAAAAAAUAAUUGUAGAAAAAAAUAUUUUUUUAAUAUAGCAAAGAUUUCAUAUAAAAAAAUCUAGAUUUCAAACUUCUCUUUUAAAAAUAUCAAAGUCAGGCAACAUUGGGCAUAUGUAAUAGUCAGGAUAAGCUAGGUUUUGCUGCAGUAACAAAUAUCCCCCCAAACUCAUUGGCUUAACAAAAGAAAGGCUACUUCCCACUCACACAAGACAACUGUGGAUUGAGGUGAUUCUCCAGGGCAGCUGUCUUAUAGAUGAUGCCUCAGUAUUUAUACCUUCAUAUCAACAAGUGCAUUUACAGCCACCAUGGCAGAGAAAAAGAAGUAGAGAGGGCCGAACACUAGCAGUGAAAUCUUUCCUCCUGAAGUGACAUACAUCACUUUAGCUUACGUUUCAUUGGCCAAAGCAAGUCACAUGGCCAUCCUUAAUUUCAAAGAUGCAAGGAAUCUCAGUCCUCCCAUGGACCAUGGAGGAGAAAGGAACCAGAAAAUAGCAAACAAUUAAUAUCUGCCACGGCACGCGCUUCCUUAUGGCAACAAUAGGCUGGAGCCCAUUAGAAGCUGCCCCUUGAAAUGGGACUUAAACACCCAGUUUGACAGUCUCCACCCAGCCUGCCUAGCCCUUGGGGGCAUUUGAUUUUGCAAGUCCUGGUAAAGAUAAAGCCAAUCUCAAUAUCAGUCUUUCAGAUGUCCCUGGUGAUCCGUGGAGUUAUCACACAGUUUUCAAAAACAAAUGUUUUGCUCUGCUUGAGACAAAAACUUAUGACAUGCAGAAUUCUUACAAUGAAAAGCAGGAUGGUAUCAUGAAAUCAAACAUGAAGUUGAAACUAGCUGUUAUUGUAGUCUGCAAAUUACAUAAACCUGUUUAUGGUGAUUUCUUCCUGUUGCUCUUCCCUCCAUCAAUCAAACACCCACCAGGAGAAACAAGCCUCCCAAGCUCUUCCCUGGAGUGGUAGUGACUUGGGAAGGGGGGCGGGGGGAUGUCUAAUUUAACAUUUUGAAGCAUUUAUAUAUAUAUAUGAAUAUACAUAUAUAUAGAUGUGUGUGUCUAUAUAAAUAUUCAAGGCUAAAAUAUUUGAGAAGAAAACUUGUGAGCUAGGAAUGGGAAGGCUUCUCUUCCAAUGACCACCAAUGAGAAUGUUAUAAAAUAUGUCUAAAGGUUUAAGAAUAAAUCAGCAUCCAUACAAAUGCAGCCAUCUCUUGGAAAAGCCUAGUGUCUUCUCUUUAAUCUCCUAACACAAUAAAGUUUUUGGAGGA